rnacentral:rRNA from 1 species
GACGAACGCUGGCGGCGUGCUUAACACAUGCAAGUCGAACGGAAAGGCCCUGCUUGCAGGGUACUCGAGUGGCGAACGGGUGAGUAACACGUGGGUGAUCUGCCCUGCACUUCGGGAUAAGCCUGGGAAACUGGGUCUAAUACCGGAUAGGAGCCAUUUUUAGUGUGAUGGUUGGAAAGUUUUUUCGGUGUAGGAUGAGCUUGCGGCCUAUCAGCUUGUUGGUGGGGUAAUGGCCUACCAAGGCGGCGACGGGUAGCCGGCCUGAGAGGGUGGACGGCCACAUUGGGACUGAGAUACGGCCCAGACUCCUACGGGAGGCAGCAGUGGGGAAUAUUGCACAAUGGGCGCAAGCCUGAUGCAGCGACGCCGCGUGGGGGAUGACGGCCUUCGGGUUGUAAACUCCUUUCGCUAGGGACGAAACUUUUUGUGACGGUACCUAGAUAAGAAGCACCGGCUAACUACGUG